CACAUAGGGUUGUCAUGACUCGACCGCAACCAGCACCACCAGUAAAAAGUUCUUUUUCACAUGCGUCUAGUUUUGCUUUUAAGUUCUCAAAAUUUUCUCCCAAGUAAGUUUUUCUCUUCUUGAUUUUACUCCGCCCAAGCCGCAAAUAUUAGUGUUUUAAGAGAACAGUUUUUGUUCUGUUUUUUCCUCCUCAUUUUAUCCACAUGGUGAGUCAUUCAAUGUCUGAAUGAUUCAGUGACUGAACGACUCUCCAGAGAGCUGUCUUCCAUACAGCUACUCAGUGAUCCUGGCUGUUUUGAUUUUAAGCGUCUAUCAACUGAACACAUGCCUCCACAUUGCCUACAGGAUCACAUAAUGCUUUUCACUGCCUCAGUCCAGAAAUGAUACACGUCACUUCUGCUCAUAUUCAUUGCCCAGAACUAGUCACAUGACUCUAGUCAACUACCAGGAAGCUGAGAAGUACACUUUUCCUUGUUCCCCAGGAGAAGGAGCACGAACACGGAUCUGGUAAGCUCAUAGCAUUCCUUCUUCCACAGCAGGGUUGCCUUUUCUUGUCAUUUCUUACUUUAUAGAAGACUAAACCUUGUAUUUUAAGUGCUUGAACAAACCUAAUUCUUACAGCAUAAGUGUUCCAGAUAAAAAUCUUCUUCAUUUCCUUGUCACUCUUAAGUUUUUAAUUAUUCUACUCCAAGAAGCUCUGCUUCUGCCUCUCCUUUUGCAUCUAUGAAAGGUAACUGUUACUAGUUCAGAUAAUCUUUUUCAGUUCUCACUAGGAAAAAUAAAAGGAAAUGAAAGAUAGCAAACAAAACAAAAAGUGAGACAAAAACCCCUAUGCUAUAAAAGUAAGUGAAGGCAUUUCAUAAAAAUCAUGCUGUAUCCAAAAUGUAAUAUAGGAACUUUGCAUAUAACUUUCACAGUUAAACUUCAUAAUGGCAUCAUGAAAAAUUAACAUUAGAUAAAAGAAUCAGUGUAUUACUGUCACAAGGAAGGUUGCGUUCUUUAGAACAAAAAAGAGUAAAGAAUCCAUGGAUUUAGAUGCUUCUAAAACGCAAUAAAUAUAUGUGAGCUGACAUGCAGGAGUAUAACCAUUUUAAGGCAGGAGAAUAAACUACAAGACGCUAUUGUAUUGUUCUUUUGUGACUUUGAUGCUAAGUCUCAUCAUUCAAAGAGGGAAUAUAACCUCUAGGAAUAGAGCUUCAGACCUCUAGAUUAAAUAGUUGUUAAAAAUAAAGAAAUAAAUAACUCAGAAAACAUUCCAGGAAACUCAACAUAUCUAAUAUAAAUGAGUAUUGGGUUCAAUAGAGUGUUUUCAUAAUUCUAAUCCUUUUAAGCACCAAAAGCCCAACCAAACUCACUGCUGCCAAGUCAAUUCUGACACAUAGUGACUCAUAGUAACCCUAUAGAACAGAGUAGAACUGCUCCAUAGGAUUUCCAAGGCUGUAAAUCUUUACAGAAGCAGACUGCCACAUCCUUCUCCCUUGGAGCAGCUGGUGGGUUCUAAACACUGACCUUUCAGAUAGCAGCUACGUGCUUUAAUCACUAUAUCACCAGGGCUCCUUUCUAAGCAACAAAGUAUAAAGUUAACAAAAAUAAUCACAGUCCUACACAUCCAAACACCUUAAGGGAUAGAGAUGCUGGGACUGAGGAUUGGGGACUAUAGUCUCAGGGGACAUCUGGGCCGAUUGGCAUAAUUUAAUUUAUAAGGAAAAUGUCCUACAUCCUACUUUGGUGAGUAGUGUCUGGGGUCUUAAAAGCUUGCCAGUGACCAUCUAAGAUAUAUCUAAUGGUCCCAUCCUUUUGGAGCAAAGGAGAAUGAAGAAAACCAAAAGCACAAGGAAAAUAUUAGUCCAAAGGGCUAGAAGAUCACAUGAAUCACAGCUUCGACCAGUCUGAGUACAAAAGAACUAGAUGGUGCCCAGCUAUCACCAAUGACCACUCUGACAGAAUAACAAUAGAGGGUCCUAGACAGAGUAGGGGAAAAGAUGUAGAACAAAAUUCAACUACACAAAAAAAGACCAGAUUUACUAGUCUGACAGAGACUGAGGAAUCCCCAAGACCAUGGUUGGGGACACCCUGCUAACUCAGAACUGAAGCCACUCCCAAAGCCCACUUUUCAGAUAAAGAUUAGACAGGCCUGAAAACAAACAAGAACACAUGGAAGGAACGUGAACAUGCUUAUUAGUCCAAUCAAAUAUACAAGGCCACACCCCAUCUGGAGCAAAGGAGAAUGAAGAAAACCAAAAACACAAGGGACUAAUGGACCACAACUACCACAGCCUCCACCGGGCCCAGCUACCACCACUGACUGCUCUGACGGGGAUCACAAUAGUGGGUCCCAGACAGAGCUGGAGAAAAAUAUAGAACAAAAUUCUAACUCUCUCUCAUACACACACACACACACACACACACACACACACACACACACAGACUUACUGGUCUGGCAGAGAUUGCAGAAACCCUGAGAGUAUGUCCCCUGCACACCCUUUUAGCUCAGUAAUGAAGUUGCUCCUGAGGUUCGUCCUUCAGUCAAAGAUUAGACAGGGCCAGAAAACAAAACAAGACGAAAUGGGCACACCAGCCCAGGGGCAACCAGAUAACCAGGAACCCAAGGUGGAGAAGGGGAGACUGUUGACAUGUCACGGGGUUGGCAACCAGCAUCACAAAACAAUAUGUGUAUUAAUUGUUUAAUGAGAAACUAGUUUGCUCCAUAAAACUUCAUCUAAAGUACAAUAAAAAAAAUUUUUAAAUGUACACUCAAAAAAAGUAAACAAGUAUGUAUAUAUAUGUAUAUAUACAUAUAUAUAUAACCAAAUGAGUGACUCCUGCCCAGAAGCAAGAGGAAGGCAGGAAGGGACAGGAAAACUGGACAAAUGGACAUGGAGAUCCCCAGGUAGAAAGGGAAGAGUGCUGCCACAUUGCAGGGAUUGCAACCAAUGUCACAAAACAAUAUGUUUGUAAAUUUUUGAAUAAGAAACUAACUUGAGCUAUAAACUUCACCUAAAGAACAAUAAAAUUUAAAAAAAAAAAAGAAAGAAAGAAAUCCUUUGGGGCAGUUCUACUAUGGGUUACUACGAGUCCGAAUCAACUCAGAAAAAAAAAUAAUAAUCAUAGUACUUUUACUGUUCUUUUACCUUAUUGGGGGAAUGUGUUGGACAGUGGAUGGUCCUGAGGAAUCUUUCAUAAGCUCUGUGUGGUUAUAUCCAUAAAGAGAAGAAAAUGCAAGCUGAAUCUUAGCUAUUUAACCCUGUACAUAGGGAUAGAAAGGAGCCUUGGUAGAGCAGGAGUUAAGCGUUCAGCUGCUAACCUAAAGGUUGUCGGUUCAAACCCACCAGCCAUGCCGAAGGAGAAAGAUGUGGCUGGCAAUCUGCUUCUGUAAAGAUUGUAGCCUUCAAAGUACUAUGGGGCAUUUGUACUCUGUCUUGCAGGGUUGCUGUGAGUCAGAAUCAACUCAAUGGCAACUUUUUUUUAUUUUUGUAGGGACAGAAGCUUAACUAUACCUAGUAGACUCUGAAUGGUAUGAAGUUCUUUCAGAACCUUCCUCUCUCAAUUAGGACAACCUUUUGUGGUUGUUAAUAGUUCUCUUUCUAUUCCACCUAGUGUUAUUGACUUCUGUACUUUACCAUUCCUAACAUAUCUAGCUCACCUGCCUAUCUCAAAAACACUGGGAAAAUCUGAAUGAAAAGGCUUUUCCAAAUCCUAUGAUGGAAAACAUUCAUAAUGAGGAAGCAUCAUAUAUCACUGAGAAUGAGACAACCAGUCACUAAUAACCCAUGGCAGAAACGUUGUUGUUGUUGUUAGGUGCCGUCAAGUCGGUUCCGACCCAUAGCGACUCUACGCACAACAGAACAAAACACCGCCCAGUCCUGAGCCAUCUUUACAAUCAUUGUUAUGCUUGAGUUCAUUGAUGCAGUCACUGUGUCAAUCCGUCUCACUGAGGGACUCUCUCUUUUCUGCUGACCCUGUACUUUACCUAGCAUGGUGUCCUUCUCCAGGGACUGAUCCCUCCUGACAACAUGUCUAAAGUAUGUAAGACGCAGUCUUGCCAUCCUUGCUUCUAAGGAGCAUUCUGGUUGUACUUCUCCCAAGACAGAUUUGUUCGUUCUUUUGGCAGUCCAUGGUAUAUUCAAUAUUCUUCACCAACACCACAGUUCGAAGGCGUCAGUUCUACUUCGGUAAUUCUAACUCAUUCAUUGUCCAGCUUUCACAUGCAUAUGAUGUGAUUGAAAAUACCAUGGCUUGGGUUAGGCGCAUCUGUUUUCCAGGUGACAUUUUCACUUUUCAACAUUUUAAAGAGGUCCUUUGCAGCAGAUUUGCCCAAUGCAAUGCGUCUUUUGAUUUCUUGACUGCUGCUUCCAUGGGCGUUGGCUAUGGAUCCAAGUAAAAUGAAUCCGUGACAACUUCAAUCUUUUCUCCAUUUAUCAUGAUGUGGCUUAUUGGUCCAGUUGUGAGGAUUUAUGUUUUCUUUAUGUUGAGGUGUAAACCAUACUGAAGGCUAUGGUCUUUGAUCUUCAUUAGUAAGUGCCUCAAGUCCUCUUCACUUUCAGCAAGCAAGGUUGUGUCAUCUGCAUAACGCAGGUUGUUAAUAAGUCUCCAAUUUUGAUGCCCCGUUCUUCUUCGUAUAGUCCAGCUUAUCAGAUUAUUUGCUCAGCAUACAGACAGAAGAGGUAUGGUGAAAGGAUACAACCCUGGCAUACACCUUUCCUGACUUUAAAACAAUCAAUAUCCCCCUUUUCUGUCCAAACAACUGCCUCUUGAUCUCUGUACAGGAUCCUCAAGAGCACAAUUAAGUGUUCUGGAAUUCCCAUUCUUCAUAACAUUAUCCAUAAUUUGUCAUGAUCCACACAGUCCAGUGCCUUUGCAUAAUCAAUAAAACACAGGUAAACAUCCUUCUGGUAUUCUCUGCUUUCAGCCAGGAUCCAUCUGACAUUAGCAGUGAUAUCCCCGGUCCGAUGUCCUCUCCUGAAACCAUCCUAAAUUUCUGGCAGUUCCCUGUCGAUGUACUGCUUCAGCCAUUUUUGAAUGAUUUUUCAGCAAAAUUUUGCUUGGGUGUGAUACUAAUGAUAUUGUUCUAUAAUUUUCACAUUUGGUUGGAUCACCUUUCUUGGAAAAGCUCAAUAUCAGUCAGAACAAGGCCAGGGGCUGACUGUGGAAGAGACCAUCAAUUGGUCAUAUGCAAGUUCAAGCUGAAGCUGAAGAAAAUCAAAGCAAGUCCACAAGAGCCAAAAUAUGACCUUGAGUACAUCCACCUGAAUUUAGAGACCAUCUGAAGAAUAGAUUUGAUGCAUUGAACACUAGUGACUGAAGACCAGAUGAGUUGUGGAAUGACAUCAAGGACAUCAUCCAUGAAGAAAGCAAGAGGUCAUUGAAAAGACAGGAAAGAAAGAAAAGACCAAGAUGGAUAUCAGAGGAGACUCUGAAACUUGCUCUUGAACUUCAAGGAGCUAAAGCAAAAGGAAGAAUUGAUGAAGUAAAAGAACUGAACAGAAGAUUUCAAAGGGCAGCUUAAGAAAACAAAGUAUUAUAUUGAUAUGUGCAAAGAGCUGGGGAUAAAAAACCAAAAGGGAAGAACACACUCAGGGUUUCUCAAGCUGAAAGAACUGAAGAAAAAAUUCAAGCCUCGAGUUGCAAUAGUGAAGGAUUCUAUGAGGAAAACAUUAAAUGAUGCAGGAAGCAUCAAAAGAAGAUAGAAGGAAUACACAGAGUCAUUGUACCAAAAAGAAUUAGUCGAUAUUCAACCAUUUCAAGAGGUGGCAUAUGAUCAGGAACUGAUGGUACUGAAGGAAGAAGUCCAAGCUGCUCUGAAGGCAUUGGCGAAAAACAAGGCUCCAGGAACUGAUGGAAUAUCAAUUGAGAUGUUUUAACAAACAGAUGCAGCGCUGGAGGUGCUCACUUGUCUAUGCCAAGAAAUAUGGAAGACAGCUUCCUGCCCAACCGACUGGAAGAGAUCCAUAUUUAUGCCAUUCCCAGCAUAGUAGACCAUAUGACUGUCCGAUUGAAAAUGGCCAAUACCAGUCCAUUUCAGCUCACUAACGCCUAGGAUUAUCUAUCUUCAAGUGUUCCAUUUCAUUUUUGACAACUUCUAAUUUUCCUUGAUUCAUACUUCGUACAUUCAGUGCUCCAAUUAUUAAUGGAUGUUUGCAGCUGUUUCUUCUCAUUUUGAGUCGUGCCACAUCAGCAAAUGGAGGAUCUGAAAGUUUGACUCCAUCCACGUCAUUAAGAUGGACUCUACUUUGAGGAGGCGACUCCUCCCCAGUUGUAUUUUGAGUGCCUUCCAACCUGAGGGGCUUAUCCUCCAGCACUGUAUUAGACAAUGUUCUGCUGCUAUUCAUAAUGUUUUCAAUGGCCAAUUCUCUUCAGAAGUAGAUUGGCAGGUCCUUUUUCCUAGUCUGUCUUAGUCUGGAAGCUCUGCUGAAACCUGUCUACCAUGAGUGACCCUGCUGGUAUUUGAAAUACUGGUGGCAUAGGUUCCAGCAUUAUGGUAACAUGCAAGCUACCAAAGUAUGACAAGCUGAGAAACAAGUGGUUGCAUAUAUAUAUAUAUAUAUGUAUAUAUGUAUAUGUAUAUAUGUAUGUGUAUAUAUAUAUAUACACACACACAAACCUAUGGGUUACGUAUAUAUACACAUUAUACACUUAUAUUUAUAUAUAUAUAUAUAUACAUACACACACAUAUACAUGUGUGUUUGUGUAUAUUUAGACUUUUGGAGAGUUCAAUUUUUUUUUUUCUGAUCUUAUCCCUAAAUUCGAAAGCAUCUUUAAAAUUGGUCUUAUAUGUAAUUACAUAAUGUAGUGAAAGAAUGCUAUUAAAAACCUAAAAACCAAGCCCCUUGCCAUAGAGUCAGUUCUGACCCAUGAGGACCCUAUGUGUUACAGAGUAGAACUGAUCCACAGGGUGUCCUUGGAUGCAAUCUUUAUGGAAGUAGAUCAGCAGCUCUUUCUUCCGUGGUGUUGCUUGUUGGGUUCGAACCACCAACCUUUUGAUUCAUAGCUGAGUGCAAACUCUGCAUCACUCAGGCGUCUUGAAAGAACAAUAUACAUGAGGUCAAAGUAAUGGCAAUAAUAAUAACUACUUACUGAGUGUAUGCUAUGCAACUGGAGCUGUUCUAAGCUCUUCUUUCUUUCUUUUUUUGCAGAUUGGUGGGAAGGCACAAUUGGGCCCAUGCCGUAUUUGUUUAAGCUCAAAAUUUAAUCUUCACCACAAUAUUCUGAAGGAAAUACCAUAAUUAAUAACGUUUUACAGAUAAGAAACUGAGAAAUGGGGAAUUUAAAUAAUUUUCCAAAGGUCACACAACUAGUAGGUAAUGAGGUAAAAUUCGAACCCAGUUGGUCUGGCUGUAGAUUUUGUGCCUUUAACAGCUAUACUACCCUGGGAAUUUAGUCCUUGUUUGCGACAUACUAAUAGAGUGACUAUCAGUUAAUCCUUGGACCUAUUUUUCUCAACUUUAAAUUACAAUAAUUACCUCAAGUUUGUUGAAAGAAUUAGGUGAUUACAAUUUGUGAAUGUAUUAGAGAAAUGGAUGGUGCCAAUUUAUAUAGAAGGGCCUAUGAUAGUUAUUCAUUUUUAUUCAAUCAGCAUUUCUCUGAUCUCCUCAGAGAUUGCUGAAUACAAAAACUCUUUCAUUAUUGGUGUCAUUAAUCUGUUUUACUAGCAGUUAAGCCAAUAAAGAUCGCUAAAAAUAAGAAAAACAAUUAUUCAGUUAGCAUUAGUAAUUAACAAAUGGGAAUUAGUAAAGAUUAGAUCAAAACAAUGGAAUGGGCAAAUGCAACAAACUCCACCUCACAACAUAACUUUGAAUUAAAAAAUAAAUAGUAAAUCCUUAGCCACACUAGAAAAAAAGAAAGAAUGUCAUUAGAAAACCAGAAAUGUUUAUGUAUUUCUAGAGGAUAGAAAUCUGACAGGAUUGAACUGAGGAAGAAAAUCUUGACACAAAGAUAGGCACCUGAUAAGAUGGCUGAUUUGAGUGAUAUUAGUUCUCGGGAUUUUUCUAACUCUAAUUAAAAUAAAGAGGAGUAAGUAACCAAGGACUAUCAUUAGAGUGACUGCUUAGAGAUGGAAUGUAAAGUGGUCAGGCCCGUUGGCCCCGCUCCCCCACCUCAUAUGCAAACACAUAGAAAGAGAGAGAGAGUCAAGCAAUAAACAGUUCUGCAUCUGCUUUCAGACUGAAGAAGCUAGUGUGCAUAACUGGGUCAAGAGGCAAGAGACUGUUCCAGGCAGCUGGCAACACCAAAAGGAAUGGAAAAAUCCUCAUUCCUGUCCUGAAAGAUUCUCUACUAGCAGAUUCCAGCCAACACCACUCCAAUAUUGGAGGCAGAUUGUGAUUUUCUAGAAAGUGAACUUUUACUAACUCACUGAAGCCUGCACUGAAGGUCUUGGUGAAAAAUCAGUUUCCAGGAAUGGAUAGAAUACCAAUUGAGAUGUUUCAACAAACAAAUGCAGUGCUAGAAGCACUCACUCAUCUAUGCCAAGAAAUUUGAAAGACAGCUACUUGGCCAACGGACUGGAAGAGAUCCAUAUGUGUGCCCAUUCAAAAGAAAGGAGAUCUAACAGAAUGCAGAAAUUAUCAAACAAUACCAUUAAUACCACACAAGUAAAAUUUUGCUGAAGAUCAUUCAAAAGUGGUUGCAGCAGUACAUCAACAGAGAACUGCCAGAAAUUCAGAGAGGAUUUAGAAGAGGACAUGGAAUGAGAGAUAUCAUUGCUGAUGUCAGCUGGAUCUUGGCUGAAAGCAGACAAUACUAGAAAGAUGUUUACCUGUGUCUUACUGACUAUGCAAAAGUAUUCUACUGUGUGGAUCAUAACAAAUUAUGGAUAAUGUUGAGAAGAAUCGCAAUUCCAGAACCCUCAAUUGUGCUUAUGCAGAAUCUGUACAUAGACCAGAGGCAUUUAUUCAAACAGAACAAGAGGGUACUGCAUGGCUUAAAAUCAGAAAAGCUGUGAAUCAGAAUUGUAUCCUUUCACAAUACUUUUUCAAUCUGUAUGCUGAACAAAUAAUCCAAGAAACUAGACUAAAUGAAAAAGAACAUGGCAUCAGGAUUAGAGGAAGACUAUUAACAACCUGAGAUAUGCAGAUAACACAGCCUUGCUUGUGGAAAGUGAAGAGGACUUGAAGCACUUACUGAUGAAGAUCAAAGACUGCAGCCUUCGUUAUGGGUUAUACCAAAGCAGACAAAAUAACUUACAACUGAGCCAAUAAGCAACAUCAUGAUGAGAGAAGAAAAUAUUGAAGUUGUCAAGGAUUUCAUUUUCCCUGGACCCACAGUCAACACCCAUGGAAGCAGGAGUCAAGAAAUCAAAAGACAUAUUGCAUUGUGCAAAUCUGCUGCAAAGACCUCUUUAAAGUGCUAAAAAGCAAAGAUGUCACUUUGAGGACUCAAGUGUGCCUGACUCAAGCCAUGGUAUUUUCAAUUGUUUAAUAUGUAUAUGAAUACUGAACAAUGAAUAAGGAAGACCAAAGAAGAAUUAAUGCAUUGGAAGUAUGGUGUUGGCAAAGAAUACUGAAUAUACCAUAGACUGCUGAAAGAACAAACAAGUCUUGGAAGAAGUACUGCCAGAAUCCUCCUCGAAGCAAAGAUGGUGAGACUUUGUCUUAUAUACUUUGGACAUGUUAUCAGGAGGGAUCAGUCCCUGGGGAAGGCCAUCAUGCUUGGUAAAGUAGAGGGUCAGCGAAGAAAAGGGAGCUCCUCAAUAAAAUGGGUUGACACAGUGGCUGCAACAGUGGGCUCAAACAUAGCAAGAAUCGUGAGGAUGGCACAGGACUAGGCAGUGUUUCCUUCUGUUGUACAUAGGAUGACUAUGAGUCGGAACCAACUGGAUGGUACCUAACAGCAACAUCAACAACAGCAUCCCUUACAUAGCCAUGCUGGGCAUCACUAGCCCAUCAAGGUUCUUCUUCAUGCUGAGCUCAGAUGUCCAGAGUCAUGGCAGUCAUGGCAGUCAAGGCAGUCAUGGUAGCCAUUGCCAACUGGGUGAAAUUUGCAUAGACUAUGAAAUUAAUUUACUAAAACAAUUCUAACUGAAAAGGAUGAAUUUGUAUUUGGUAGAAUUUCAGUCUAAUGGAGUAGAUAUUUGCUAGCAGGGAAAGCUUUUAGUAUGAAUAACUCAGGUUAGUUCUCACUGGUGACAGCCUUCUGUCUAUAUGUAAAAUAAAAGUAAAGAGAUACUAGUGAUUCAGAGGAGUUCCUGGGUAGUGUUAAUAUACUUGGUUACUAACUGAAAAGUUGGAUGUUUAAGUCCACCCAAAGGUGCCUUGAAGAAAGGCCUGGCAACCUACUUCUGAAAAAUCAGCCAUUGAAAACCUCAUGGAGCACACUUCUACUCUGACAUACAUGGUUGUUGCCAUGAGCUGGAAUUGAUUUGACCACAGCUGGCUUACUAGUAGUUUUAUAGAAGGAUGAACUGGAGGCUGACAGAGGUGUGAAUAAAAAGGAGUAAGGAAAGGACAUACUGAGUCACAUUCAGGGAAUCCCAUUAUACUUUUCUUUCUACCGUUGGGGUGAGCGAUAGCAAACGGGGCAUAAGGGUACGUGAAAAAGCUUUCUGGACUAUAUAAAUGCCUAUCUUUUGGCAACUGUUUCAAAAACUUGUUUCAAUAUUCAUUUGAAAUGUCUCAGGUAUAUUGUGCAUUGCUCUGGGAGUUACAUCCCCAAAUAAAUAGCAACAGCAGUAACUUACAACAUUUCUGUCGCAAUUUACACAUACAAUAUUACACAAAGCUCUUUACUGUCUGUGGCAGGCCUGUGUGGGAAGUUACCCCUCACUUCCACCUUUGCAAUCUAGAGUCCAGUGCUGUAUAGGGCAAAUACACCCUGUCAUUAUUAACUUAUUUUUAUGAGGCACUCCUGAAUUACUGAAGUUCUGGACAACUUUUUUACAAGCCGCCCCACAGAGAACUGCUGAGAAAUGGAUUAGCAUUGCUAUGGCCUUUUAUAGACAAGAAGCAGAGGCCUCAAUUCAGUAGAUUCUGAAGGACUGACAAAUCAAUAGCAGAGUCUUUCUUACAACUACAUUCUCUUUUAUUUUUUGGUCAUGAGCACUGCAAUUGACCAAGAAGAAUUAAUAAAAUGAUGCGAUUUUCUUAGUUAUCUUAGAAUUUUAUUAAAUCUCCACAAAUGUUAGAAGCUGCAAAAAUUACAAAUUUGGCAUAUAUUAAGAUGGAUACAAUAUGUCAAAUAAGUAAUGGCCCGUAUUUAUUACGUAUAAUGUGUCUAAUAUUUCAUUUUUGGGUGCUUGAAACAAACAAAAAAAACCUCAUUGCUGUCAAGUCAAUUCCGACUCAUAGCAACCCUAUAGGACAAAGUGGAACUGUUCCAUAGGGUUUCCAAAGAGUGGCUGGUGGAUUCAAACUGCCAGCCUUUUUGGUUAGCAGUUGAGCCCUCAACCAUUGCGCCAUGACAGCCUCUUGGGUGCUUAGACACAAUAAUAUAUUCACAUUAUGUGUUUAGUUCUUCUCAUCACCCUCAUUUCGCUUCCAUUCCCACACUUCCAGGUUACCACAGUAAUAAAAAACCCAUUGCCAUUGAGUCAAUUCCAACUCAUAACGACCCUGUAGGACAGAGUAGAAUUGCCCCAUAGGUUUCCAAGAAGCAGCUGGUGGAUUCAAACUGCUGACCUUUUGGGUAGCAGCCAAGCUCUUAACUGCUGCACCACCAGGGCUCCAUAGUCAAUCACAAAGAUGCUGUGCUUUCAGCUUCCAGGCCUUAUCCUCCUUGGUGCAUCCUGAGAACCGCUCCAGCCCCUCUUCAGUGCCUAGCUUGAUGGUUUUAUCAUAGAAAGUGAGGGAUUAAUAAAAUUUUAAAGUAAAUUUGACAUUCAUAAUGAUUGGAAAACCGUUGCAUAUUUAUGGAAUAUAUAUACGUGCGUCGUGCAAACAUCGUAAUUGCAGAGAAACAGCCUGAAAAGAAAAAAAAGUGGUUUUAUUGAAAUCAUUUUAACUUUUUAUUUAGAAAUAACUUCAGGCUUACAGAAAAGUUGCAAGUAUAAGAAUCACACAAAAAAAGUUCACAUACACUUUACCCAGAUUCACCUAUUAACAUUUUACCCCACUUCCUUUAUUAUUCUUUCUCUUUUUCUCUGAACCAUUUAAAGGUAAAUUACAUAAAUCAUGGCCUUUACCCCCUAAGCUUUUCAGUGUGCAUUUCCAAAGAAUAGUGAUAUUCCCUUACGUAACCAUGGUAUAGUUAUCAACUUAAGGAAAGUUAACAUUGAUAUAAUACUUUUAUCUAAGCUAUUAUCUGUAUCCAAUUUUGUUAAUUGAUACAAUAAUGUCCUUUAUAGCAUUUUUUUUUUUUUUUCCUCCUCCACUAAACAGACCCAAUCUAGUGUCAGGUAUUGCAUUUAACUGUCAUGUCUCUUUAGUCUCAUUUAACCUGGAAUGUUUCUACAGAUUUUGUCUUUUAUAACACCAAUAUUUUGAAGGAUACCGUCACUCCUGUUUUUGAUACAAACAUUUGUCAUUUUGGGUUUGUCUGAUAUUUUCUCAUUAUUAGAUUCAGGUUAUGCAUUUGCAGCUGGUAUGCUACCUAGGUGAUGUUAUGUCCUUCUCUGGAUACUUCAUCUAGAGACACAAGAUGGCUCUCAUCGGCGAUAUUAAUUUUGAUCACCUGGUCAAGGUA